GAUGAACGCUAGCGGCAGGCCUAACACAUGCAAGUCGAGGGGUAGCAGGAAGUGCUUGCACUUUGCUGACGACCGGCGCACGGGUGCGUAACGCGUAUACAAUCUGCCUCUUACUGAGGGAUAGCCCAGAGAAAUUUGGAUUAAUACCUCAUAAUAUGUAUUUGUGGCAUCACAGAAACAUUAAAGGUUGCGGUAAGAGAUGAGUAUGCGUCCUAUUAGCUAGAUGGUGUGGUAACGGCACACCAUGGCAACGAUAGGUAGGGGGCCUGAGAGGGUUAUCCCCCACACUGGUACUGAGACACGGACCAGACUCCUACGGGAGGCAGCAGUGAGGAAUAUUGGACAAUGGGCGCAAGCCUGAUCCAGCCAUGCCGCGUGCAGGAAGACUGCCCUAUGGGUUGUAAACUGCUUUUAUACAGGAAGAAACCGCUCUACGUGUAGAGUCUUGACGGUACUGUAAGAAUAAGGAUCGGCUAACUCCG
rnacentral:rRNA from 1 species